AGGAUGAAUGCUAGCGGCGUGCUUAAGGUAUGCAAGUCGAACGGAUCAUACAAUUGUCUAGCUUGCUAGACACCGUAUGAUUAGUGGCGAACGGCUGAGUAACACGUAGGAAUCUACCCCUAAGUAAGGCAUAGCCCCGCGAAAGCGGGAGUAAUACCUUAUGUGAUGGCAACAUCAAAGAUUUAUCGCUUAGGGACGAGCCUGCGGCCUAUCAGCUUGUUGGUGUGGUAAAAGCUCACCAAGGCUAUGACAGGUACCUGGUCUGAGAGGAUGUUCAGGCAGAGGGGCACUGAGACACGGGCCCCCCUCCUACGGGAGGCAGCAAUCGGGAAUUUUGCGCAAUGGGGGAAACCCUGACGCAGCGACGCCGCGUGGAGGACGAAUGCCUUCGGGUUGUAAACUCCUGAAAAUAGCACCGGCUAACUACGUGCCAGCAGCAGCGGUCAUACGUAGGGUGCGAGCAUUAUCCGGAUUUAUUGGGCGUAAAGAGUUCUGUAGGCGGUGGUAUAAGUCGAGGGUUCAAUCUUCCAGCUCAACUGGAAACCUGCUUUCGAUACUGUAUCACUUGAGGCAACUAGGGGGUAGUAGAACUUAUGGUGAAGCAGUGAAAUGCGUUGAUAUCAUAAGGAAUACCAAGAGGGAAGCCGACUACCUGGGGUUGUCCUGACGCUGAGAGACGAAAGCGUGGGUAGCGAAACGGAUUAGAUACCCGUGUAGUCCACGCCGUAAACGAUGCCUGCUGGAUGCCUGAUUUUUUGGGCGUCGAAGCUAACGCGUUAAGCAGGCCGCCUGGGGAGUACGACCGCAAGGUUAAAACUCAAAGGAAUUGGCGGGGACCCGCACAAGCGGUGGAGCAUGCUCUUUAAUUGGCUGUUAACCCAAAAACCUUACCCAGAUUUGACAUUUUCUCCUUAUGCUUUAUUCGAAAGGACGAAGUUGCUGCUUGUCAGCAGGGAUUAAACAGGUGUUGCAUGGCUGUCGUCAGCUCGUACCGUGAGGCGUACCCUUAAGUGGGUUAACGAGCGCAACCCCUACUGUUAGUUGUAUCACUCUAACGGAACUGCUGCCGUAAGGCGGAGGAAGGUGGGGACGACGUCAAGUCGGUAUUGCCUUUAUGUCUGGGGCUAGAAGCAUGCUACAAUGGCGCGUACAGCGAGUCGCGAUGUGGUGACACAAAGCUAAUCUCUUAAAACGCGUCUCAGUUCAGAUUGAAGUCUGCAAUUCGACUUCAUGAAGUUGGAAUCGCUAGUAAUCGCAGGUCAGCUAUACUGCGGUGAAUACGUUCUCGGGUCUUGCACACACUGCCCAUCGCGCCAGCAAAGCUGGGGUCACCGUAAGUCCUACUUUGGUGGGCCCAUGGUGAAAUCAGUGAUGAGGGCGAAGUUGUAACAAGGUA
rnacentral:rRNA from 1 species